AGUUAAUGAACUUGUAUAAGUAUAUACUUUGAAAGUAUAAAAAAGAAAUUUUAAUUUUCUAUUAACUUUAGUACUAAAU
rnacentral:tRNA from 1 species